UACGUAGGGUGCAAGCGUUGUCCGGAAUUAUUGGGCGUAAAGAGCUCGUAGGCGGCUUGUCGCGUCGACCGUGAAAACUCACAGCUCAACUGUGAGCUUGCGGUCGAUACGGGCAGGCUCGAGUUCGGUAGGGGAGACUGGAAUUCCUGGUGUAGCGGUGAAAUGCGCAGAUAUCAGGAGGAACACCGGUGGCGAAGGCGGGUCUCUGGGCCGAUACUGACGCUGAGGAGCGAAAGCGUGGGGAGCGAACAGG
rnacentral:rRNA from 1 species